UUUCUAUAGUGUAAACUGCACAUAACCUUUUCAAAGUUAAAGAAAAUUAAUUUUUAGAAAUU
rnacentral:tRNA from 1 species